CAGCCUCGGCGGCGGCGGGGCCGGGGGAGCGCGGGGUCGGGCCGCAGCUGGGAGGAGGAAGAGAAGGAGGAAGAUUUGGGAGCCGGCAUGGCAUAGUGACAGGUGCUUGUUCCAUGAAAGAAGAUGACACCCUGACUUAGAAGAGACUGCGUAAUUAACACAUAUGAAGCUUGCAAAAGGCAAUUAUCAGUGCAAAGUGUUUACAUUGAUUUAUGGGAAGUCGGCAGUGCACAAGAGGGAUGCUGAUGCUAUCAACGCCAUGGAUUAAAUGCACAUUUACACCUUUAUUGACAUAUAAAUUAUCCAUGCCAAGGAGGCAGUGAAAAGGAUGCCGAUGCAGCAAUGAUGUGGCACACACCACUGGCUAUGGAUCUAUCUCUGCCAUCUCUCUGCACAGUUUACAUGAAUGGAAUUUCAGAACUGAGAUAAAAUUGGAAAUAGAAGCUUUCAGAAUGUUGGCUGCUUUAUUUAUUUUUGUUAAGGCAAUGAUGGCAAGCCAGGUUUUUGAUCGGAUUAUAACAAACAGGGAGAGUAUUUGAAAGGAUCACCUGCUUUUUUUUUUUGCAUGAGUGUGUGUGUUUUUCCAUUUUUAUUCAAUUGGGUUUUGGAAGAAAGGUUGAACAAGAGAGGAAUAUUUGUUCCUGGGAAAUGGAAUCUGUACCGGAAUCGAGCCAACAGCAGAAGCGAAAGCCGGUGACACAUGGACUGGAAGAUCAAAAAAGAUAAAUUCAAACCUGACCUACUUAAGUGAGAAGAAAGAGAGGACAGCAGAGAGAGAAAGACAGGACAGCACAGAGCAUCUGAAAAUUACAACUGAGAGAAUCCAGUUAGAGAAGUAUUGUUCACUGUGGAAAGGAUCCACCUACCUGGUUCAGAUGGGAGAAGUAAAAUUUCCCUGACACAAAGCAAAAUGAUCAGCAAAAUGAAUGACUUUUAGAUUGACUUCUACUUUAUCUCCCUAGAAUUGUCCCCUUCAGAGAAGCAGCUUUCACCAAGAGAAGUACAAUUCAAAUACAAUGGGCCAACAGUAUCAGUGAAUGGUGAAAAGAUUGUUUUGGCUAAAUAGUCUUUUGACUCUUUGUCCAAGAUAAAAGCAUUCAUGAAGAUUUUUAAAUGGGGCUUGGGCUUAACUUAAUAAAAA